UACAGAGGUGGCAAGCGUUGUUCGGAAUUACUGGGCGUAAAGGGCGCGUAGGCGGCCUUCUAAGUCAGACGUGAAAUCCCUCGGCUCAACCGGGGAACUGCGUCUGAGACUGGAAGGCUUGGAUCCGGGAGAGGGAUGUGGAAUUCCAGGUGUAGCGGUGAAAUGCGUAGAUAUCUGGAGGAACACCGGUGGCGAAGGCGGCAUCCUGGACCGGUAUUGACGCUGAGGCGCGAAAGCCAGGGGAGCAAACGGG
rnacentral:rRNA from 1 species